GCCCGCCCGCCUCCCCCCAGGAGCGGCCCCAGGAGCGGCCCCGUCGCAGACAGGCGGGCGUUCGGCAGCCCCGCGGCGGGGGCGGAGCCUGGCCGAUCGCCGCGGCACACAGAGAGGCGGAGGGUGCGGAGCUCAGCACAGACUGCGGAAUGCUUUAUGGGAGCGGGGUACAGAGCUCUGGAAAGGGGCUCCCCGGAGGAGGGGAAAAACCCUCAAAACAACCGAGAGAAAAGAAAAACAGCGCCCAGGCCUCGAGCUCCCGGAGCAGAGGUGGGAUCACGCCCCAACAUCGGCGCCCCCGUCCGGCCGCGCCCCCUCCGCCGGACAUGCGGCACACGGUGCACGCGCAGCGCGGACACGGACAUGCGUGCGAACAGCGAAAUCCGCGGGGACAUCCACCGGGACACGUGGGGACAGUGACAACCACCAGGACAGACGUGGCGCGGGUAGACAUGGACAGAAAACCCCUCAGCCAUGACCUGGCUUUCUCCUUGUCCAUUCGGGAAGCGCUGGAGCAGUGGCUGGGAAUGAGAAGGGGAAUGCGGGGGGCGAUGGAGCGCUGCAAACGCCUCUGCCUGCUUCGGACCAAGGCCUGACCAUCCCAGCCCAUCCAGACCUGCUCCAAAGGGUCCAGCAUUACAGAACUGCACAAGGAUCAUCUCAAAAAGGGAAGACAAUUCUUUGAAUUGAAUGAACGUGCUGCAGGAGCUCUGGGUUCACCCCCUCUCUCAGGACCCAAGCACAGCUCCAGCUCACAAAGCUCAUUCUCUGGGACACUCCCUGCACACACACCAAGCAGCUUUAGAGAUCCCCCUAGAAAUGAGGGGAAAGAAUAAAAUCUCCACCAACAAUGCUUGAA